rnacentral:rRNA from 1 species
UACGGAGGGUGCAAGCAUUAAUCGGAUUUAUUGGGCGUAAAGGGCGCGUAGGCGGCCUUGUAAGUCAGACGUGAAAUUCCGGGGCUCAACCCCGGAGCGGCAUUUGAAACUGCAAGGCUAGAGGGUAGAUGGAGAAAAUGGAAUUCCACAAGUAGCGGUGAAAUGCGUAGAUAUGUGGAAGAACACCAGUGGCGAAGGCGGUUUUCUAAUUUACACCUGACGCUAAAGCGCGAAAGCAAGGGGAUCAAACAGG